rfam:Acinetobacter sp. CAG:196 genomic scaffold, scf226
UCCUCAGUAGCUCAAUGGCGGAGCAACCGGCUGUUAACCGGUAGGUUGUUGGUUCGAGUCCAACCUGGGGAG